AGGGGCAUGGUGUAGUGGUUUGAAUGUUGGACUAGGACUCCAAGACACCAGGGUUCAAAUCCCUGCUCUAG